GUUAGUCUGAAAACAAGUGGGGCUGUUAUACAUGCCACCCAUUGGUCAUCAGCUGUGGGAUCGAAGGGAGUUAUGGAAACUGCUUGGGUGAAAGUGAUCAAUGUACCUCUAGAUAAGAGAAGUGAGAGAAAUAUAGCUUUUGUUGCCUCGCUGGUGGGGGUUCCCCUGGAGAUUGAUGCUGCAACUUUGCAUCGUCCUGCUUCUGUCUGUGUGAAACUAGGAUGCAGGAAUGCUGAUGCUAUACCUGGGGUAGCUGAGGCAGUUCUAGGGGGCAUUUCUAUGAUUUUUUUUCUAUGA
rnacentral:rRNA from 1 species